UUGGAUUUUGAAACACUUGGAAAUGGAAAUGCUGUGCAGCUUGCAAAUUCCAGGCAGAUAUGUUUGAUAUUCAAUGUUUGGUAGCAUACUUGCAUAACAUAAACAGAUUUGAGUUUGACUUCAUUACAAACACAGUUAUAUUUUACUCAUAAGGAACAACAGCACCCUGGGUGUAGAACAGAAAAAUAUGAAGCUUGAGGUCAUUCUAAGCAUUUCUCAGGACAGCCUGAAUCAAUUUCAGUGGAAAAGUAAUUUGUAUUUUAUGUCAUUGUAUGCUAGAAACAUGUAACUUGCUUUUGAUUUUACAGGGGUAACAUUGAAUGUAUUGACUUGAGGAUCAGAAGACACUUUAAACUUUUAAACAAAGUUUGUUCUAUGAAAAUUAAUAGAGUCUUUUAAAUUUGUAUACUAUACAUUUUUAUUAUGAAUUGUUUGUGAGACUGUGGUAACAGGGAGUAGAAUGCAGUAGUUUGAAUGAUAUGUCCACUGUUGGUUUCUAAUUUUCACAUAUUUGACUCCCAAUUAUUACUGGACAAAGAUACCUCUAGGAAUGUUUUUCUAUCUUUUAAAAAACUCAAGAUAUUUUAAUAACCUCUCUCUGCUUCUGCUCUGUGGUUUGAGAUAUAAGCUGUCUAUUCAGCAACCUGCUGCUUACCACUCAAGAUACAAAAGAGAAGAAAUAAUCUUUUGCUACUACAAUUUUAAUUUUAUUAAUAUAUUUUUGGAGUUGUUACAAACAAAUUCUAAAAUGUAAUACUGGCUGUAAGUAAACUCAGGGCAGGCUCUGCCUAUGCCUCUAAGUUGUUAGAUAUAAGGGCAUGUGCCAACAUGACUGGUCUUUUUCACAAAACAAAUUUCUAAAAGUAAUUAAUGAUCAAAGUCAAAUCCACAAAUACAAAUGAAAUUAAAAGCAUUAAAAAUAUAAUGACAUAAAUUUGUAAUCAUAUCAUUCAAGAGAUAGAAACAAAAGGUUUACUUCAAAUUUGAGGCCAACCUACUCUACAGAAUGCUACAGUGUCUCACAAGUUUCAAAAUUUGAAAAGGAUAUGAACAAAAGCAAAAUUUGAGUAAAAGAUAAAAAGAGGAAGAGAUAGAGGAAGAAAAGGAGGAGGAGGAGAAAAGGAGGACUUCACUAAUCAGGACAAUGAAAAGCUCAAGAAACAUUAUUAAAAUGAUUACCACAUGGAAAUUAGAAUUCUACACUGUGGAAUUAAGGGUUUUUAAAACUGAACAUAUACAAAAUAUACAUCUGUCAAGACCAAUGACAAAAACAGCAAGUACAGAAUUCAUUAUAUUCCCCGAUAGUGUACACUACAUCCUGUGGAUCAAGUUAAGGUCUCCUAAUCCCACACUGUUACUACUCUUCUAACUACCUGUUAAGAAAGACUGCAUCUUAAGUAUCCAUUGAAUUGGACUUGUACAAAUCCUUCUCCAUUUCACAGAUACUAUAAUCAGUAAACAGACAUUUCUUGAAUUUCCCAAAUAACAGACUCAUUGCUAGAAUCAGGAUCCAACCACAUAUUAUGAAAGCAUAGUUAUUAUCUGUAGAAUAUAACAGCAUAGUUUAUAUGUCAUACAAGUUUUUAUUCUUAGAUAUUAUUGAGAUGGUUAUUCUUUCUCUCAGACAAUUGACAGGUAAGCCUCUCUCAUUCUGCAGCAGGGUUAAUUUAAUUAAUUUCAUUGAGGUAAGAGAACCUGUCCUUGUGUGUAGCAUCAGGUUGAGGAUCCUUAGCACUGGCCUCUUCACUAACACAGUGGUUAGUGAAGAACUCUACAUUCCAAUAACUCUACAAUCCAAUGUGCAUAGAUUCAUCUUUUUACACAUAUAUCCUCAAAUACUAGGUACUUGUAAUGAUAAAAGCAUUAUUUAGUUUAAAACGCAGGAAUUUCUUUAGGUAUUUUUAGUAACCUAAUCACACUUUGACACACAGUAUAUGUAUAGAUGCAAAAAAUGUUCGAUUCAUUUUCUUGUUUAAAAAACCCUAUAUUAUAUUAUUUCUUUCAUUGGAUAUAUUUCUUUAUUUACAAUUCAAAUGUUAUUCCCUUUCCCAGUUUCCUGUCCAUAAGUCCCCUAUCCCCUCCCAUUCCCCCUUAUGGGGGUCCCCCCCAUCUAUGCCCCUUACCACCCCUUGCAGAGAUUGCCCUGUACUGGGGGUCCAAACUAGGCAGGACCAAGGCCUUCCCCUUGCACUGGUGUCCCAACAAGGCUAUUCUCUGCUACAUAUGCAUUCAGAGCCCUGGGUCAGUCCAUGUAUAGUCUUUGGGUUGUGGUUACUCCCUGGAAGCUCUGGUUGGUUGGCACUGAUGUUAUUAUGGGGAUGCAAGUCCCUUCAGCUCUUUCGAUCCUUCCUGUCAUUCCCGCAAAGGAGGUCCUGAUCUCAGUUCAGUGGUUUGUUGCUAGCAUUCACCUCUGCAUUUGACAUGCUCUGGAUGUGUCUGUCAGGGGAGAUUGACAUUUGUGUAUAUUGUAUAAAAUCCAGAAAACAGGAUAUCCUUUAUAUCAAAACCGUUAUAUUUGACCUGCUAGGUGGCAGAUAAAGACGGAAUGCUGUAUGUUUAAAUCCAAUUUAUUCUAUGCAGCAUCUUACUAGCCAGAAAAGAAAGCUAUUGAUGCAAAUAUUGUCUUUAUAAAUAUUAAAUCAAUAUAAUUUAUUGAGUACUUGCUAUUAGGUAUCCUCAGACACUUUUCAAUAAAAGAAAAGAACUACAGGAUUGUAAUUUCACAGGCUUUGUUGCUAAUAGGAAUCAGUAUUUGCAAAGUACCAUUAAAAUUCAAGGAUAUUGUAGAACUUUCUUUUCAGCAAGCUUUGAAAUCCUUCAGCAUUGUCAGAAGAUUCAGAGGGACUGAUCUGCAGUAGCACAGCCUGUAGUCACCCAUUUCAUUCAGUAAGGCAUGAAUUGAUAUAUUGCCAUGCUUAUCUGCUCAGUCCUAUAUUGAAGCAAAUUUAGUCACACAGAGAUAGCUUAUGAAACUACUGCUAUGGGGUAGGAAGCUGAGGAUUUCCAUAUGCAUUCAAAGACACCUUUAUAUUUUUGCAAAUGUUUUCCUUCCAUGACUUUAUAGAACACAAUGCAGACUGUCCAAAUUCAAAUCACAUAUAGUAAUUCUUAUGAAUUUCCCUUUCCCGUGUAGACAUUGUCUUGCAGAAAAGAAUAUUACUAAGUCAAUAUCAUAUUUAUAUUUAUUGGAAAAUAAUUGAAUGUUUAAAAUUAGUAGCCUUUCUACAUUUUUGUGUGUACUUCUUUUGCAAAUUCUUUAGGGAUCAAAAUCACAAAGGUUUAAAGUUGCAUAGAAGAGCCUAAGUGAUGCUUCAGCUUGUACAAACUAAUACUGUUCUGAAAAAUAUUUCCCAGAUCUCAUGUCAGGUGUCUAAAAACUACAUGUAUUUGCAGAUCUGGAGAUAUAUACCUACAUACCUCUACAUAUAUGCACACACACACACACACACAGACACACACACACAGACACACACACACACACACACACACACACACAAACACACACACACCUCAUUAACAGCAUUAAUAAAAUCUAGCUAACUGUGGUGGCAUAUGAGUUUACUUGAAGUACUUACAAGUUAGAAGCUCAUAAAUUUCUGAGUUAAAAGCCAGCCUGCUCUAAAAGUUUGUUUCCAGUCCAGCUAAAUCUAAUACGUAAGACCAGAUCUACAAAACAAACAAGUAAGUAUCUCAUAGCAAGAAAUUUUAAAACUGAAGAAAAACUCAUCACUGAAUGACAAACCAAUGCUUUUAUUAUAUAGCAAAUAUUAUGUUAACCAUAAGUGCUUCAUUUACAUGAGCACAUAGGAAAUUUUAAAAAUCCACCUAAUCAAGUAAAACCUUACUAGUGCAGAAUGUUGGUAAAAUAGCAUAUUUUAUUCCUUAGUGGUUUCUACAAGUAUCUAGUGUUUUUGUCCAUUCACAAUUUUGUUACAUUUUUCCUAAGCACUCUUUUUCCUUUCUAUAAAGAUCUAGAUGUGAAUAUAAUUUAAUAUCAUGUAAUUAUCAUUGCCCAAAAAUCCUUGAAUUUAUCCCUGACCAAUUUAUACAGAAGUUUAUGAAGACCCUCCUCUGUCAUAUUAGCAAUAGGACAGUUUAAAGCUCAUGGCUGCCUGCUUUGUACAUUAGCUUUAGAAAAGAUUUUGAAUCUCUGCUACCUGGUGACCAUGCAUGCAUGCGUGAUGCAGGGUUAUGCCAGCUCACUAGCACAGACUGGGGGUUGGGAGUGUGAUUAGUCAAGUCAGUGCAGCAGGUCCUGCUCAGAGAAGAGGCAGACAAGGUGCCUGUUGCAUCCAACCUAGGAAUGGUCAGCAAGGCAAUGCAGCAAACAAGGUCAGCUCCGUCAUAUCCCCAUAAUUUGUUUCAUAGACAUGACUUUUUUCACACUAAAUAUUGCAAAUUUGUUGUGACAGAAGAUUUUUCUACUGAUCUUAAAUCUUUGACUCUGGACAGUCAGAUCAGAAACCUAUCAGAUCAGGACCUGGCUUCCUUUGUCUUGUCUUGUGUUGUGUUUGCUGCAGUGCCCCUCCCCUUGAGCAGUUAAACUGCCUUUUCACUUUAGCUCUGUUAUCUUACAUGGUGAAUAUUAGCAUUUCAAAUAGCUGACAAUAAUGUGGAUUUUUGGUGUGUGGGAGGAAUGGCAGUCAGGAAAGAAAAAGAAUAAGUUGGUAUAUGGGUGUUGCAUAAAAAUAACAUCCAUAAUGAAGUUAAAAAGUUAUCUUGGUAUCUGCCAUAGACUGAAAGAUAUGAAGGAAUAAAAAUACCUGAGAGUUAAAGUACAGAUUAUCUUCAGAGGGAAAGCACACAACGGAUCAUGAUUGGGUUGUACUUCUUAGUUUCUGAAUGGUUAAAGCUUCAGGUAAGAAUGAAUUUUGAUGUCGCAAUAGUUAUAAUAAAAGAAAGGGGUUAUGAAAAUUGCUUUAAGAAAGAGUAGUGAGCAGAGUUCAGGUGUGUGAACUGAAAACAUGUGGAAAUGUGGUGUAUCUUCCACAUAUAUACAUACACACCCACAACCACACAAACACUUACACUUUACAUACUCACAUACAGUGUAUAGAGUAAUACAGAAUAAUAAACUGUUUUCUUCUGUGAUCUCAUAAGGUGAUCUAGUUUGAAUGUUAUGACAAUACGUCCAUGUCUUUAGGUAUGUGAUAUUUUUUAUUAUUAUUUUUUUAUUUUUAAAUCUUGCCUGGAUUACCAAUAAACUGUUGGAUCGGAAAGAAGUUUCUUUAGAUAUUUGAUCUAUACUUUGAUUUGAUUCCCUGAUUUGGAUGAAUUUUAUAAAAUAUGCAAAAUAGAAUGCAGAUUUGUUUUUGUUUUUUGGGAGUUUAGGUGGGAAUUUUAUCCAUCUUCCAUCAGUUAAAUCCUCAAGAGCUUGUCUUUUCUUUUGCUUCAGUUUGUUUGUAUGUUUUUUUUUGUCUUAUUGGAAUUGUAUUUUGCUUUUCAUUAAAUAUGGUCUAUUUUUUAGUGAAAAUUGAUUUUGUCCCACUUUUUAUUUCCAUUCUUAAUUUUUAUUUAAAUCGUGAUCAUAGUUUUCAGUUUUUUCCUAUUUCCAGUUUUCCCUCACCUCUCUUUUCUUCCAGAUCUGUUCCCUUUCUCUCUCCGAAGGAAAAUAUAAUAAGAUAAACAAAGAACAUAAUAUUGAGGGUGGACAAAGCAACCUAACAGAAGGAAAACGAGCAGCCACAAGAAUCAGAGACCCACUUGUUAACACACUCAGGAAUGCCAUGCAAACACUAAGCUGAGUGCUCUAAAUAUGUACUGAGGGCACAUGAGCAAUGUCAUGAAUGUUCCUCCUGGAAUGGGCAUUGGAUCCAAUCAAAUAACUGUCACUUACUCUCAUGAUAUUUAUACCACUCUUCCACCCAUGUACACUGUAGAGAGAGUCCCCCAUUGUAAAUUGAGGACUUCACCCAAGUUCAUCUUUACUUUUCUUCUCAGAAACUAUUUAUAAACUUUCCAAUCCAUGACAAUUACUUCAGUCAGCCAUCAGCUUACGUACAGGAGUACCCCCUGCCUUGCUGGAGAGGAAGCAUCAGAAAAUAACGUGGCACAAUGUUCAUCUCGGCAUACAACUUCCUCAAGCUGAAAAACAUUUACAACUCUAGCCUGCUUUUCUUUUUGUAGAUGGUGACGAGUCUCAGUCUCUGUGGACCUAAUGAUGUUUUGUUGUUUCACUUCCACGUUUAGAAGUUGAUUUUUUAUAUAAUGAAUUUACAGUAAUACGGGUUUUUAAAGAUUCUUCUCUUUGUACUAGGGUUGCAUUCUUUAAGUAUACUUUUACAUGCCUGUCCUACAAAAGUUCUGCUUUCAUACUUAAGGAAACAAAAGUUCAACAUUAAUUCUCUGAUUGCAAAAGCUAUCUAAUGUGUCAGUUUGGCUUCUAUUAUCAAAGAAUAUAUUUGCAUUUUCUCUAUUGGUGUGAAAGGUAAUUUAAAAAAAACAAUUUAGAUAUUAUUCCUUAAGUACAUUAGGGAUGUCUGAAACAAUUUUUUUGCUUUUAGUUCUAGCAUUCUGUUCUAUUUCUACCAUUAUGUGUCUAACAAAAAAUUGAGAGACAAAAUUUUACAGAAGAUAUUUGUUACUACAUAAUUACCACAUAGUUCUUCUUAAAGUAUUGUUCUAUUUUUGAUACACACAUACACACACACAGACACACACACACACACACAAUUAUGUGUUUAGUCUCCAAUUAUGUGUAGUCUCACUUACAUUGAGCCUUUGUAUCUUAUAUUUUUAAAAAAUUACACAAUACCCUUCUGAAAUCUGCCCAGAGAUGUUUUAUGCAAGGACAUCAUAGUUUACUGGGAUUUUAUUUAUAGCUAAAACUAUGUUUACAGUGAAGAAACAGUGGAUGGAAAAUUACUAAGUACGAGAGAGACUUUUGCUCUUUAAAACAGGGAGGGAUAAGAAAAAUACAUUUGUGUAGAGACCAGCGGUUGCUUUGCUCACUGAAAAAUUAAUUUGUUAAAUAUGAUUUUAUGUGAAAAAGUAUGAGUAUCAUGAAAAUUUAAUAAUACCAAGUGAAAUUUGACUAAGGAAUGAAGGUAUGUCAUAAUCAGGAUAUAUAAUUUUGUUUGUUUGUCUUUUUUUUUUAUUCUAUACUUCCAUGGAUCAAACUCCAGAGCUUUGGAGAAGUUCGAUAAACUAUCUACUAGUAAGCACGACUCUUAUUCCAAUAAUUUAAAGCACUGUUUUCUAAGUAAUAGCUUCACUUUCCACAUAAAGUUUCUUUUUCCAAUAAUGAAUAAUAUUUUCUGAUUCACAUAAAAAUUGAAAUUAGAGGUCAAUAAUCUUUUAUUUCAGCAUUCCCUGUCACUUGAAAUUAUGAAACUGGUGCACAACAGAGGUGAAAGUAUCAUGCUAAGUUUCAAUUAUUAGACAAUCAUAAGACACAGGAUGGAAUUAUGGAGCCUGGGAAGGGAAAUGUCCCACUCUACAUAUAACUUGGGCUAAUAGCUCAGUAUCUAUAGCUAUUUACUGUUACUUACAUUUAUAUUUACUAUAAAUUUUAAAACAGCUUAUGGACAAGGAAAUACGUUUAGAAUUCCUCACCAUAUUGUGUGAAAAUUGUCAGUAAUUCAUUUUGAUAUUUCUGUCUUUUUUUUUAUUAACUUGAGUAUUUCUUAUAUACAUUUCGAGUGUUAUAACCUUUCCCGGUUUCUGGGAAAACAUCUCCCUCACCACUACCCUUCCUUAUGGGUGCUCCCCUCCCAACCCUCCCCCCAUUGCCGCCCUCCCCCCAACAGUCUAGUUCACUGGGGGUUCAGUCUUAGCAGGACCCAGGGCUUCCCCUUCCACUGGUGCUCUUACUAGGAUAUUCAUUGCUACC